ensembl:lncRNA
GAUAAGCAAAGGCUAAAUACACACUAGAUAAAAAUGAGUGAUAUGUCUCAGGUCCAAACCAUCAGGAAUCCAUUACGUUAAUAUUGGUUACAAACACUGUCUCUAUUUCUGUAAGAUUUCACGUCAGGAAUUUUGACUUAUUAUUGAUAGUAGGGCAAUGGGAGGAUGAGAAUUACAAGAGCUAUAUAAAAAAAUUGAAGCGAUAAAGGGAAGCAAUAUUUAUAGGAUAUCUACUACAUUACAGAUGUUAUACUGGGCACUUAACCUAUGUUGUUUAGUCUGUACAACAACCCUUUAUAUGUGGGGAUUAUUAUUAUUUUAUGUUAUGAAUAUGAAGAGAGAAGUUCCAAGAUUCUUUAAAACUUACCUGAGGCUACAAAGCAAGUAGUAACGCUGCGAUUUAAACUCAAGACUAUAUUCUCCUGAAGCUUAAACUGCAUAAAUACUUACUUCAGCCAAAGAACUUUGGUAAAAUCUGGCAGAUAUUACUGAUGCCAUUUAUGGUGAAUAUUGCCAUUCUCCUUCUCCUUUAUAAUGCCUCACUUUAUUUUUUCCAGAUUGAUUCCCUACAAUGAGCUUUUCAUUUUGACCUUCUUUUCAUGUCUUUCCUGUGCUCCUAGAGAACAUUGAAGAUCGAUCAUCUUCUCUAUCAGAUGCCUUCCAUAUCAGCUUAAUAGAAGCAACUUCACUAAUAAAUGACAAUGGUCAGCUUAUUUACAACAUUUCUACUGGAUUUUUUUUCCUCAGGAUUCUCUUCAGAGGAAUAGGAGGAGAGGUUAUAUUCUCUGCAUGAGGACAAGUCUACAGUGUCAAAAUCAAGUAAUAUUUGUCUUCUGACAGCAGAACGUUGUAUCAUAUUUCUAAGGACGCUUCUGCGCACCCUUGAGGGACAAAAAUGUGACUUCCUGACUUCUCCAAGAGAGGAAAGAGGGAAAUAAUGGCCAAUGAGGUAAUGGGAAUUCUCACCUUUACUAGUUCCAGAAGCAUGACAGAGGUACAGGUUUGGGAGCUAUUUGACAAAGGCUUGAAGCUAUACUUUGUGAGAAUGACCUUCAGUACUAGAGAGAUAAUGGACAAUAAAUCAAACUUCAUUUUAGUCAAGAUCCAAGGAACCUAUAGUGUCAAAAGUUUCUUCCACUAGUAACCAUGAAUUACCAAGAUAUACUCAAAAGUCUAGUUAAGGAAUUUAUUUUGUGACUGCACUGAAAACAAACUACUCAAAUAGCGCCAUCCUUACUGUGCUGUGACCUGUAUACUCCUAACGGUUCAGAAGAGUGAAGAAAGAAACGCUGGAAGAGAAUGUGUUUAAAAAUACACAUUUAACCUGUUCCUCAAAGCCAUACCUAAGGUGAGAAAGGUGCUGCAAGAAUGUAGGCUGACUUCUAAAGGAGGAAGAAAAAGCAUACCUUGUCUAAAAUGAAAGCAAAAUGUAGUGACGUGGUGAUAUUUUAUGUUCACAACUAGGUCAUAACUGGGGGACUGCAUUUCUAAUGACGUAGUGGUCAGGCUAGGCUGGGAGCAGGGAGAGGAAGAGCAAGGCCUCUCCCUGUGUACUCAUUCCACCUGGGACCAAGUAACCACGGAAAUGUGCCGCUUAUCAGGAAGAAUGGGUGCAUGAGGUUGGGUCCAGUGGUGGGCAGGAGGGAAAAUCAAGAACAGAGAAUGACUUCCUGUGUCAUCUUUGGCCUUUGUAUAGUAGGCUGCUUAUAUUUGUCUUCUAGAAUAGAGAUUAUUUUUAUUGAUCAUGGAAUGGCUAUGUGAUGUGUCGUCUUGGUUGAACUCCCUUCUCAGAAUUCCCCUUUUGAGUUUGCUUCUGGUUCAUGAGGGCUUCGAGGAAGAUUGUUUCACAUGACUUGGAGAGCGCAAGAAAGGCAGCAGCCAUUUUGUAGCAUGUACACAUCUUCUUGCAGGUAUUCUGCCAAAUACUAAUUUUGGUGAGUGUUGAAGGAGUUUCCAGAUGUAAUUAAAGCCCCAAGUCAGUUGAUUUUGAGUUAAUCAAAAGGGAGAAUACCCUGGGUGGUACUGACUUAAUCUGGUGCAAGUUUAUUUAUUUUUUUAAUUUUUUUUCAACGUUUAUUUAUUUUUGGGACAGAGAGAGGCAGAGCAUGAACAGGGGAGGGGCAGAGAGAGAGGGAGACACA